rnacentral:rRNA from 1 species
UUGAUCCUGGCUCAGAACGAACGCUGGCGGCAGGCUUAACACAUGCAAGUCGAGCGCCCCGCAAGGGGAGCGGCAGACGGGUGAGUAACACGUGGGAACGUACCCUUUACUACGGAAUAACGCAGGGAAACUUGUGCUAAUACCGUAUGUGCCCUUUUGGGGAAAGAUUUAUCGGUAAGGGAUCGGCCCGCGUUGGAUUAGCUAGUUGGUGGGGUAAAGGCCUACCAAGGCGACGAUCCAUAGCUGGUCUGAGAGGAUGAUCAGCCACAUUGGGACUGAGACACGGCCCAAACUCCUACGGGAGGCAGCAGUGGGGAAUAUUGGACAAUGGGCGCAAGCCUGAUCCAGCCAUGCCGCGUGAGUGAUGAAGGCCCUAGGGUUGUAAAGCUCUUUCACCGGAGAAGAUAAUGACGGUAUCCGGAGAAGAAGCCCCGG